UGAGUCAAGAAGUGGGAUUAACGUGACUUUCGUUAACUGGCAACAUUUUCAGUGAUGGCCGAUGUUUCAACUUGGACGGGAUGCUAACGACCGUUGCCGAAUUUUAGUGUUGAAUUAUAUCAAGUUUCUAAUAAUUCGGUGUUUUUAUGUGAAUAUUAUAAAUUCUAACAACAUUUCGUGUGAUAUUGUGUGUUUAUAGUGACUAAAUUUCAAGUGUUGUUCAUUAGAGAAUGUUUGUUGUGCCCUCGCUUUAACAGGAUCACUGGAUAAUAAAAUAUUGGAUUACGGUUGCUGUUUAUUUAAUUGUUGUGGACUAAAGAGCUAGUGCAAAUAGUGGAGUGCAUCGAUGAGACUCCACUGAGUUUUCGAAGAUAACAGCGUCGC